AGUGUUUGGAAUUUAACAGGGAAAGAAAAGAUUUUCUCCAUUACAAACGAAUGGGAAAUUGGUAGUAGUGGAUUUUACCAUCAUCCUAUUUUUAGGACUGUUAAAAUGCAAGGAAAAUUAAUCUUUUAGGUACGAAUGGACUGAAUGGUAGAAGAAGGGGGAGCCGCUUGAAAAGUACAGUUAAAUCACCUCGAGGAAGAGGAUAUAAAGAAGAUCGAAACAUUGGAACUUGGAAGCGAACCAAGAAGUACUGAUGUGCAAACCUCGCAGUUGGACCCCCCACCCAGCGAAGAAAAGGAAACCUGCUGAAAACUCUUACGGAAGACAAACAAAGUGAGUUCCGGCACUACGAAGUCCAGGGCUGGCAGAAAAAAAGGAAGAUGUCAUCGAAUGGAAAGUCAGCUAAGUGAGUUCCGCCACAACUGGUCCCAGGGCUGGAGGAAAGGAAGACACCAACCAUGACGGGAAAGAGAACUGUUCCCCACAGAGGGUUCCGGUCUCAAAGAAAGAAACCUCAUCAGACGUUCACGGUUACCUAAACUUUCAACAACCACUCCAGGGAGGCCGGGCAUAGCGGAGCUAGUCGACACACGGAACUGACUCCGUUAGCUCAGAUAAACCCCAGUGGGAACGGCCCUUAAAAGGUCAGCUGAGUCUACAUCCACGUCCCUCCCGCAAACAAUGAAGUCCAAAAGAAGAGUAAAGGACCCGAAGGAAAGGAAAACCCCACCGGAAAUUAAGCGCAGAGCGAAGUAACAGAAUCCUCAACCGGAAAGAAGGGCAGCUCGAAUCGCCGAGAGAGGAUUACAGAGGAAGGAAUUCUUGAGAGAAAAUGUACGCCGCCCUAGGAAGAAAAUUCAACUCCAAAACCUGAAUUGCCGCAACUGAGAAGAUUUUGUACACAGAAUAAUGAGAGAGUUCAGAAAGCAAAAUGAUACGUGAAACUUUUCUUUGUUUUUUUAUUUAGACUUGAAGUUCAGUUUAUAUCAUUUUGUUCAAAGUUGCUUUUUCUCAAAAGAGAACAAUUGUUAAAUGUUGCUAAAAGUAAGAUUUUUUUUUCGUUCGCAAGUUCGUGACAAAAUCUACUGUAAAUAUCGUUUAGUCUGAAAGACUUGAAUUUACGGUUGAAAUGGUUGUACACUAGAAGUUAAAAUUAAAUUUGUCGAAAAGGAGUGGAAUCUAUGUAUAGCAACUGUGUACGCUUUGAUGUAAAAUGAAGCUGAAAAUUUUAUAUGUUAAAUGUGUAAAACUGUUUGCGCUGAAAGUAAAUUUUAUGUGAUGAUUGUAAAAGUGCUUCAAAGGCUUAAACUUUGUUUACAUGAAAUAUUUGAAUGAAUGUGUUCAAGCUGGGCUUUCCAGUUCUUUAACGCGUGUAUAGUAUUGAUAUUGAGGUGUCAUUUAAGGUCUAGAGUGUCUAAAUUUUAGUUUUACUUUUAGAAAGUUGGUUAGAUGGUAAUGUUGUUCGCUUUAACAUAACAGAUUAUAUGUGAUUAUAAAUAUUAUCUAAAUAUACAAUAAUAAGGUAU